GGAUUGUGGCUCAGCGGUAGAGCAAUCCCCUAGCAUGGGUGGGACCCCUGUUCGAUUCUUAGCACCA
rnacentral:tRNA from 1 species